rnacentral:misc_RNA from 1 species
ACCAAGAAUUGAUGCAAAUAGUUAUAAGAUGGAUUUUGGAGUACUACAAAUGAUUCAGAAUUCUCAAUUCAGAGGUCAUCCUUCAGAAAAUCCUCAUACUCAUCUUAAGAAGUCUGUUAUGAUUUGUGACAUGCAAAAGCAACCAGGAGUAUCUGAUGAUGCAGCAAGGCUAAAAUUGUUUCCAUUCUCUUUGAAAGAUAGAGCA